GAUGAACGCUAGCUACAGGCUUAACACAUGCAAGUCGAGGGGCAGCAUGACGGAAGCUUGCUUUCGUUGAUGGCGACCGGCGCACGGGUGAGUAACGCGUAUCCAACCUGCCCUUGUCCAUCGGAUAACCCGUCGAAAGGCGGACUAACACGAUAUGCUGUCAUUAAGAGGCAUUUUUUGAUGACGAAAGGACUGGCGGUAUGGGAUGGGGAUGCGUCUGAUUAGCUUGUUGGCGGGGUAACGGCCCACCAAGGCGACGAUCAGUAGGGGUUCUGAGAGGAAGGUCCCCCCACAUUGGAACUGAGACACGGUCCAAACUCCUACGGGAGGCAGCAGUGAGGAAUAUUGGUCAAUGGGCGAGAGCCUGAACCAGCCAAGUAGCGUGCAGGAUGACGGCCCUAUGGGUUGUAAACUGCUUUUAUAAGGGAAUAAAGUGAGCCUCGUGAGGCUUUUUGCAUGUACCUUAUGAAUAAGGACCGGCUAAUUCCGUGCCAGCAG
rnacentral:rRNA from 1 species